AUGCUGGAGGUAUCAGAAGUGCGAAUGCUGACAUAAGUAACGAUAAAGCGGGUGAAAAGCCCGCUCGCCGGAAGACCAAGGGUUCCUGUCCAACGUUAAUCGGGGCAGGGUGAGUCGACCCCUAAGGCGAGGCCGAAAGGCGUAGUCGAUGGGAAACAGGUUAAUAUUCCUGUACUUGGUGUUACUGCGAAGGGGGGACGGAGAAGGCUAUGUUGGCCGGGCGACGGUUGUCCCGGUUUAAGCGUGUAGGCUGGUUUUCCAGGCAAAUCCGGAAAACUAAGGCUGAGGCGUGAUGACGAGGCACUACGGUGCUGAAGCAACAAAUGCCCUGCUUCCAGGAAAAGCCUCUAAGCAUCAGGUAACAUCAAAUCGUACCCCAAACCGACACAGGUGGUCAGGUAGAGAAUACCAAGGCGCUUGAGAGAACUCGGGUGAAGGAACUAGGCAAAAUGGUGCCGUAACUUCGGGAGAAGGCACGCUGAUAUGUAGGUGAAGUCCCUCGCGGAUGGAGCUGAAAUCAGUCGAAGAUACCAGCUGGCUGCAACUGUUUAUUAAAAACACAGCACUGUGCAAACACGAAAGUGGACGUAUACGGUGUGACGCCUGCCCGGUGCCGGAAGGUUAAUUGAUGGGGUUAGCGCAAGCGAAGCUCUUGAUCGAAGCCCCGGUAAACGGCGGCCGUAACUAUAACGGUCCUAAGGUAGCGAAAUUCCUUGUCGGGUAAGUUCCGACCUGCACGAAUGGCGUAAUGAUGGCCAGGCUGUCUCCACCCGAGACUCAGUGAAAUUGAACUCGCUGUGAAGAUGCAGUGUACCCGCGGCAAGACGGAAAGACCCCGUGAACCUUUACUAUAGCUUGACACUGAACAUUGAGCCUUGAUGUGUAGGAUAGGUGGGAGGCUUUGAAGUGUGGACGCCAGUCUGCAUGGAGCCGACCUUGAAAUACCACCCUUUAAUGUUUGAUGUUCUAACGUUGACCCGUGAUCCGGGUUGCGGACAGUGUCUGGUGGGUAGUUUGACUGGGGCGGUCUCCUCCUAAAGAGUAACGGAGGAGCACGAAGGUUGGCUAAUCCUGGUCGGACAUCAGGAGGUUAGUGCAAUGGCAUAAGCCAGCUUGACUGCGAGCGUGACGGCGCGAGCAGGUGCGAAAGCAGGUCAUAGUGAUCCGGUGGUUCUGAAUGGAAGGGCCAUCGCUCAACGGAUAAAAGGUACUCCGGGGAUAACAGGCUGAUACCGCCCAAGAGUUCAUAUCGACGGCGGUGUUUGGCACCUCGAUGUCGGCUCAUCACAUCCUGGGGCUGAAGUAGGUCCCAAGGGUAUGGCUGUUCGCCAUUUAAAGUGGUACGCGAGCUGGGUUUAGAACGUCGUGAGACAGUUCGGUCCCUAUCUGCCGUGGGCGCUGGAGAACUGAGGGGGGCUGCUCCUAGUACGAGAGGACCGGAGUGGACGCAUCACUGGUGUUCGGGUUGUCAUGCCAAUGGCACUGCCCGGUAGCUAAAUGCGGAAGAGAUAAGUGCUGAAAGCAUCUAAGCACGAAACUUGCCCCGAGAUGAGUUCUCCCUGACUCCUUGAGAGUCCUGAAGGAACGUUGAAGACGACGACGUUGAUAGGCCGGGUGUGUAAGCGCAGCGAUGCGUUGAGCUAACCGGUACUAAUGAACCGUGAGGCUUAACCUU
rnacentral:rRNA from 1 species